CCUACGGGUGGCAGCAGUGAGGAAUAUUGGUCAAUGGCCGGAAGGCUGAACCAGCCAUGCCGCGUGAAGGUCAGUGCCCUAUGGGCGUUAAACUUCUUUUGUGCGGGAGCAAUAAUGGUCACGUGUGGCCAGACGCGAGUACCGUCCGAAUAAGCAUCGGCUAACUCCGUGCCAGCAGCCGCGGUAAUACGGGGUAUGCAAGCGUUAUCCGGGUUUCUGGGGUGUAAGGGGUGCGUGGGCGGUGAGGUAAGGCAGAGGUGAAAGCCCGCGGCCAAACGUGGGAACUGCCAUUGAUACUGCCUGGCUGGAGUGUAGUUGCGGAAGGCGGAAUGUGUGGUGUAGCGGUGAAAUGCUUAGAUAUCACACAGAACACCGAUUGCGAAGGCAGCCUUCGAAGCUGUGACUGACGCUGAGGCACGAAAGCGUGGGGAGCAAACAGGAUUAGAUACCCUUGUAGUC
rnacentral:rRNA from 1 species